rnacentral:rRNA from 1 species
AUUGAACGCUGGCGGCAGGCCUAACACAUGCAAGUCGAGCGGCAGCUGGGUGCUUGCUUCUGCUCCGGUGGCGGACGGGUGAGUACUGGCUCGGAAUUUGCCUGGUAGUCGGGGAUAACGUUCGGAAACGGGCGCUAAUACUGCAUACGUCCUGCGGGUGCAAGUGGGGUAUCUUCGGACUUCACGCUAUCUGAUGUGCCUAGACCUGAUUAGCUAGUUGGUGGGGGAAAUGCCUACGAAGGCGGCGUUCCGUAACUGGUCUGUGAGGGUGGUCAGUUACACUGGAACAGAGCCACGUUCCCUACUCCUGGAGUAGGCAGCAGUGCGGAAUAUUGGACGAUGGGCGGGUGCCUAAUCCAGCCAUACGGCGUGUGUGAAGAAGGUCUUCGGACUGGAAAGCACUGUAAGUAGUGUGGAAGGGCAGUAAGUUGAUACCUUGCUGUUUUGACAUUACCAACAGAAUAAGCACCGGCUAACGUCGUG